ACCACGCCCCCCUCUGCCUUGAACCACGCCCCCUCUCAAACCCCACCCCUUUCCAAAAAAACCACGCCUCCUUUCUGUAACCCCGCCCCCUUCCCCCCUUUGGCCCCUCCCCCUUUUCUGUGCGUUUUACAGAUAAAAGAGCUGAGUCGAUGCGGUGGGUGUGGUCUGUGGGGGCGGGGCUUAAGGGCGGGGGCGGGGCUUAAGGGCGGGGGGCGGGGCUUAAGGGUGGGGGAGGGGAGCGGGGCCCCGCGUGGGAUCUGUGGGGAAAUUCAGCCCCACAAGUGCCCCUAUUGCCCCACAUCUGCCCCACAUCUGCCCCUAUUGCCCCACAUCUGCCCCACAUCCGCCCCACAAGUGCCCCUAUUGCCCCACAUCCACACCACAUCUGCCCCUACUGCCCCACAUUGCCCCACAACUGCCCCACGUCCACCUCACAACUGCCCCUAUUGCCCCACAUCCACCCCACAUCUGCCCCUAUUGCCCCACAUCCACCCCACAACUGCUCCUAUUGCCCCACAUCCACCUCCCAACUNNNNNNNNNNCCCCUAUUGCCCCACAUCCACCCCCAUCUGCCCCACAUCCACUUGCAUCACCUCCAGGAACCCCCGGAUCACAGCGCAGGAGGAGCAGCCCUGGUACCCCCCCCUUAAAGACCCCCCCAGUGCCCCACAUCGCCCCAUAGGACCCCCAGGUCCCCUCUGUGGGACCCACAUCUCCCAUUGGGACCCCCAAAUCCCAUUGGGACCCCCUUAUGGGACCCAC
rnacentral:lncRNA from 1 species